UUGCGAACGGGUGAGUAACGCGUAGGUAACCUGCCUGGUAGCGGGGGAUAACUAUUGGAAACGAUAGCUAAUACCGCAUAAAAUUGAUUAUUGCAUGAUAAUUAAUUGAAAGAUGCAAUUGCAUCACUACCAGAUGGACCUGCGUUGUAUUAGCUAGUUGGUGAGGUAACGGCUCACCAAGGCGACGAUACAUAGCCGACCUGAGAGGGUGAUCGGCCACACUGGGACUGAGACACGGCCCAGACUCCUACGGGAGGCAGCAGUAGGGAAUCUUCGGCAAUGGGGGGAACCCUGACCGAGCAACGCCGCGUGAGUGAAGAAGGUUUUCGGAUCGUAAAGCUCUGUUGUAAGAGAAGAACGGGUGUGAGAGUGGAAAGUUCACACUGUGACGGUAUCUUACCAGAAAGGGACGGCUAACUACGUGCCAGCAGCCGCGGUAAUACGUAGGUCCCGAGCGUUGUCCGGAUUUAUUGGGCGUAAAGCGAGCGCAGGCGGUUAGAUAAGUCUGAAGUUAAAGGCUGUGGCUUAACCAUAGUAUGCUUUGGAAACUGUUUAACUUGAGUGCAGAAGGGGAGAGUGGAAUUCCAUGUGUAGCGGUGAAAUGCGUAGAUAUAUGGAGGAACACCGGUGGCGAAAGCG
rnacentral:rRNA from 1 species